AGUGAACGCUGGCGGUAGGCCUAACACAUGCAAGUCGAACGGCAGCACAGUAAGAGCUUGCUCUUACGGGUGGCGAGUGGCGGACGGGUGAGGAAUACAUCGGAAUCUACUUUUUCGUGGGGGAUAACGUAGGGAAACUUACGCUAAUACCGCAUACGACCUACGGGUGGAAGCAGGGGAUCUUCGGACCUUGCGCGAUUGAAUGAGCCGAUGUCGGAUUAGCUAGUUGGCGGGGUAAAGGCCCACCAAGGCGACGAUCCGUAGCUGGUCUGAGAGGAUGAUCAGCCACACUGGAACUGAGACACGGUCCAGACUCCUACGGGAGGCAGCAGUGGGGAAUAUUGGACAAUGGGCGCAAGCCUGAUCCAGCCAUACCGCGUGGGUGAAGAAGGCCUUCGGGUUGUAAAGCCCUUUUGUUGGGAAAGAAAAGCAGCAGGUUAAUACCCCGCUGUUCUGACGGUACCCAAAGAAUAAGCAUCGGCUAACUUCGUG
rnacentral:rRNA from 1 species